GGCGUGCUAUACAUGCAGUCGAGCGAACGGACGAGAAGCUUGCUUCUCUGAUGUUAGCGGCGGACGGGUGAGUAACACGUGGAUAACCUACCUAUAAGACUGGGAUAACUUCGGGAAACCGGAGCUAAUACCGGAUAAUAUUUUGAACCGCAUGGUUCAAAAGUGAAAGACGGUCUUGCUGUCACUUAUAGAUGGAUCCGCGCUGCAUUAGCUAGUUGGUAAGGUAACGGCUUACCAAGGCAACGAUGCAUAGCCGACCUGAGAGGGUGAUCGGCCACACUGGAACUGAGACACGGUCCAGACUCCUACGGGAGGCAGCAGUAGGGAAUCUUCCGCAAUGGGCGAGAGCCUGACGGAGCAACGCCGCGUGAGUGAUGAAGGUCUUCGGAUCGUAAAACUCUGUUAUUAGGGAAGAACAUAUGUGUAAGUAACUGUGCACAUCUCGACGGUACCUAAUCAGAAAGCCACGGCUAACUACGUGCCAGCAGCCGCGGUAAUACGUACGUGGCAAGCGUUAUCCGGAAUUAUUGGGCGUAGAGCGCGCGUAGGCGGUUUUUUAAGUCUGAUGUGAAAGCCCACGGCUCAACCGUGGAGGGUCAUUGGAAAC
rnacentral:rRNA from 1 species